CUGGGUGACCGAGGCAUCUCUCUUAUGAGGGACCCGUACUCCAGAGUCAGAAUUCAUUGUUAUUGAAUAUUCUAGAAUUGAUAGAAUUUGGGCGAGACAGUGGAAAGAGAUAAAUGACACUUCAAGAAAUGAAGCAAAGCACCGAUAUUAACAGGAAAAUGAAAACAGAAUAGUUUGCUGUCUGCGGCUCUCCAGAAGACGUGGCUGGCCGGUUCUUAUCAUUCAUCACAAAUGCAUCUCACUCCAGCCCAGGCUCCCCUGACAGAAAGAACAGCCGGUCUUCAAGAGGUCAAAGACAUUUUUCUCUCUUCGUCUUUCUCAGUUUCCAGCAUAGAUUUGUCAGUCUAAGAAGGCAUGAACCCUGGAUUUGAUGUACUUUAAUUGAUUUCACCCUCGACAAGUCAGACUGUCCAUCAGCUCUCUGCUUGGGCUUCCCUGAACGUUCCUUGAGGCUGCGAUUUUCAUCCGUCUCUGAAACCAAGCUGUCACCAAGCAAUUUAUUCCCUUCACCGGCUCUCUGGGUCCAUCUUAUUUUCACUCCCAUAACCCCCUUGAGGGAAAGAGGGAGAGCGUGUGAUAGAACACAGGAAAGACUGUGCAUGAAGGGAAAGAAGGAAGGAAGGAAAAGAAGGAGGAAAAGAAAGAUGAUAGACAGAAAAGUGUGCGUCUGUAUCAACUUCGGGGAAACUGUUCUGAUUUCUUUCUCAAAUGGUUAACAGGGUGAAAUCAGAGAACAGGGGGUUGAUGGAAGGGAUGAAGGAUAAACAGAUGGAUGACUGUAUGGAUGGGUGGAUGGAUGGAUGGAUGGAUGGUAGGUAGAUGGAUGGAUGGGUGGGUGGAUGGAUGGAUGGAUGGAUGGGUGGAUGGAUGACUGUAUGGAUGGAUGGGUGGAUGGAUGGAUGGGUGGAUGGAUGGAUGGGUGGAUGGAUGGAUGGAUGGGUACAUGAGUAGAUAGAUGAGGGUAUGGAUGGAUGGGUGGAUAGAUGGAUAGAUGGAUGCAUGCAUGCAUGGACGGGUGGAUGAAUGGAUCUGUGGAUGGAUGAAGGAAUAGUAAAAUAUAUAGGGAGGUUUGGAGGGAUUGGUGGUAAGUUGGAGAGAGGGGGAGGGAGAGAGGGAAGGAGAGAGGGAGGGAAGGAGAAAGAGAGGAAAUGGAUGAGUAAGUAUUUGGGUGCAUGCAUGAAUGGAUGAAUGGAAGAUGGGUAAACAGGUGAGGGAAGGGUUGGAAGGAAGGGUGAUUGGAUGCAUGGAUGGAUGGAGUGACAGAAGAACAGGUGGGGAGGUAAAAGGAUGCAUCAAUGAAGGAGUGCAUGAGUGUGUGUGUGUGUCUGUGUGUGUGUCUGUGUGUGUGUGUGUGUAGCAGUGCUUUAAUGGGUGAAUUCUUCAGUAGUUAGAAGAAUGCCAGACACUCUCAUUACUAAUUGGGUUCGGCAGCAAAGCUUCAAAUAUAUACAUAUAAACACAUAUGUCAUAUAUUAUAUAUUACAUAUUGCAUAUAACAUAUUACACAUUACACAUCAUACAUGUAUAUGCAUCACAUAUACACAUACACAUGCAUAUAUAAUCUUGUACUUGCCAGUAAUGGUAACAGGGCUUAAAUAAUGACAAACACAUAGACUUUGUCACCAAAGAACUUACACUCACAAAGUCAUGAGGAUUGUGUGUAUGUGUGGUUCCUGGGACUGAGCACAGAGCUCCACACACGCUAGGCGACACUGUGACACUAUCCCACCUCCACAUCUUCUUUAUUUUUCUCCUCUUUAUUGAUGAUAUCAUCUCACUGGGUUUCUCGUGUUAUCCUUGAACUCAGUCUGCAGCUCAGACAGUCUUUGAAUUUGGCAUUCUCCUGCCUCAGCCUCUCUAUAAGCGGGAUGACAGGCCUGCAUCACCAUCCUGAGAUGAAGAGCUCACAUUUGAAUACAGAAGAAGAAGAAGAAGAAGAAGAAGAAGAAGAAGAAGAAGAAGAAGAAGAAGAAGAGGAAGAGGAAGAGGAGGAGGAGGAGGAGGAGGA